rnacentral:rRNA from 1 species
GACGAACGCUGGCGGCGUGCUUAACACAUGCAAGUCGAACGAUGAGGCCGGAGCUUGCUCUGGUGAAUUAGUGGCGAACGGGUGAGUAACACGUGAGUAACCUGCCCUUGACUCUGGGAUAACUGCGGGAAACUGUAGCUAAUACCGGAUACGACCCUCGGAGGCAUCUCCUGGGGGUGGAAAGAAUUUCGGUCAAGGAUGGACUCGCGGCCUAUCAGCUAGUUGGUGAGGUAAAGGCUCACCAAGGCGACGACGGGUAGCCGGCCUGAGAGGGUGACCGGCCACACUGGGACUGGGACACGGCCCAGACUCCUACGGGAGGCAGCAGUGGGGAAUAUUGCACAAUGGGCGCAAGCCUGAUGCAGCAACGCCGCGUGAGGGAUGACGGCCUUCGGGUUGUAAACCUCUUUUAGCAGGGAAGAAGCGAAAGUGACGGUACCUGCAGAAAAAGCACCGGCUAACUACGUGCCAGCAGCCGCGGUAA